rnacentral:rRNA from 1 species
CAGUAGCCACGGGAAUACAGAGGGUGCAAGCGUUAAUCGGAAUUACUGGGCGUAAAGCGUGCGUAGGCGGCUUCUUAAGUCGGAUGUGAAAUCCCUGAGCUCAACUUAGGAAUUGCAUUCGAUACUGGGAAGCUAGAGUAUGGGAGAGGAUGGUAGAAUUCCAGGUGUAGCGGUGAAAUGCGUAGAGAUCUGGAGGAAUACCGAUGGCGAAGGCAGCCAUCUGGCCUAAUACUGACGCUGAGGUACGAAAGCAUGGGGAGCAAACAGGAUUAGAUACCCCGGUAGUCCCUGUCUCUUAUAA